CUCAAGUGAUUUCUUCCUAAACCGGCUGCCCCCAAGGAUAUAACAAGUGGCGACGAUAGAUGGGAUUCCAGUGCUGUUCCAGUAACAAAAGGAAGUAGAAGUCAAGUAAUACAAGAACAAGAGGACUUUUAAUGAAGUUAACAGGCAGCACCAAUAAAGGGGAACAGUGUUUUUUGCACUGCACAGACAACCCAUGGAAUUCAAUGCACAGGGCAGCACCAGAGUUGAGCAGUGUAUGGAAAGAGGGAGUAGAGUAGAAGGAGGAUGAACAAUUUCUCUGGGAUUGGCUAUCAAGAAGCAGCCCCUCACAACCCACCUAUGGGUUGCACCCCAUCUAUUGAAAAGUCUUGCUUUAAAUGGAACAGAGGA